rnacentral:rRNA from 1 species
UACAGAGGGCUCAAGCGUUGUUCGGAUUCAUUGGGCGUAAAGGGUGCGUAGGUGGCGCGCUAAGUCAGGUGUGAAAUUUCGGAGCUUAACUCCGAAACUGCAUUUGAUACUGGCGUGCUUGAGGACUGGAGAGGAGACUGGAAUUCAUGGUGUAGCAGUGAAAUGCGUAGAGAUCAUGAGGAAGACCAGUGGCGAAGGCGGGUCUCUGGACAGUUCCUGACACUGAGACACGAAGGCCAGGGGAGCAAACGGG